CUGGUCGCAGUGCUCUUCGGUGAGCGUCAGGCACACCAGGCCACGCGCGUGCGUGACCAUGAAGUUGAUGGCUUCCGGCGUGACAAAGUCGCUCGCCAGGAUCA
rnacentral:antisense_RNA from 1 species